CCUACGGGUGGCAGCAGUGGGGAAUAUUGCACAAUGGGGGAAACCCUGAUGCAGCAACGCCGCGUGAGUGAAGAAGUAUUUCGGUAUGUAAAGCUCUAUCAGCAGGGAAGAAGAUGACGGUACCUGAAUAAGAAGCCCCGGCUAACUACGUGCCAGCAGCCGCGGUAAUACGUAGGGGGCAAGCGUUAUCCGGAUUUACUGGGCGUAAAGCGCUCGUAGGCGGGAUGUCAAGUCAAGGGUGAAAUCCCCGCGCUCAACGUGGGGACUGCCUUUGAAACUGGCAAACUGGAGUGUGUGAGAGGAUAGUGGAAUUCCGGGUGUAGGAGUGAAAUGCGUAGAUAUCUGGAGGAACAUCAGUGGCGAAGGCGACUAGCUGGCACAUAACUGACGCUGAGGAGCGAAAGCGUGGGUAGCAAACAGGAUUAGAUACCCUGGUAGUC
rnacentral:rRNA from 1 species